rnacentral:lncRNA from 1 species
AUGCUAGGUUUAAAAAAGAAGAGAGAAAGUGUGGGAUGUUCUCGCUCCAUGAUGAUAAACGUUGUGGCUACUCAAGGCUAUUGCUGUGAUGAAUAUUUCAAUCAAUCUGGCACGGCGCCCUCCGCUCUCCAGAGUGAGGAGAGAGUUGACAGUUGGAUGAAGAAAGGCUUUGUGGAGGAAGUGUCAUCAGAGCUGACCUUCAGGAUCCAGGGUUACUGCGGGCCCUGUUGGGUAAGUUCUUACAGAAAGUGCAGAGGAAAUCAGGAUCAGAGGCGAAAGCAUGUGCGGGCAUCCCUGAGGAGGCCAACAGUAGGUCUCGCAUCAGAGGGGUUCCUGGACAUCUCUGGGCCCAAGGAGAGCCUCCUCUAAAUCAGGCAGGAGAGUUUUCUGGAAAGGAACAGCAUGUGCUCACUCCUCAGAACCACAGACAGAAGCAGAUUGGACUGUGGCAAGUGCAAACAUGGCAUGUUUACUGGGAAGAAAAAGUUCUUGGUUCCCUGGAGAAUAAUGUACCAAAACAAAGUGGAUUCUAUGGACAUUCCUCAGCGAGAUGAUGUCUACCCAGGUUAAGGAGAGAAUUCUAGGGCCUAAAUAUGCCCCAAUCACACUGUAUUCUUUGCCUGUUACUCCACUGAGGUGCAGAUUCUCUUAUUUCAUACUCAAAACUAACUGGGGGACUUUGGGUGAAGCUUGUAGGGCAGAACUUGGUUGGGCUUUUCCUGAUAAGAUGACUCACCAGAUCUGGUGUGCCAAGUGCCUCUAAGCUACAACGGUUUAUGUUUAAAUAGUUUCUAGAAUUAACCGGGCUCUUAGGAUUUCUGAGCCAGGUCAGCUGCACUAGGGUAGAGCUCACUGGUAACAAAGAUACCCUUUCCCAAAACAGGUGGGAGUGCGGAGUGCUGGAUUAUGUAAUAGUGGGACACACCCAUCUUGGGGAAGACAGUGCCCUCUGGUGUUCCAAAGGGACUUGAAGGAGAUUUGAAGGCAAAGUGGGUACUGUUGGCUUCUCAUCAGGCCAGUAGGGCUCUGAGGUUUGAUCCAGGAGUCUUGGGCACUCUGAUCUCAGAGUGGCAUCCUGUUCCCCUGGCAGAGCAGAAAAGAAAGGGGAAGCUUGGAGAAGCUUCAAUGCACAGCUCUCAGCUAGGUCUCAAAGAUCCUUGGAGCAUGAGAGGGCAGAGAUGCAGCCCCACACAGUCAUUUUGCCUGAGGUUCCACCUGUGCAAAGAGAUUUACUGCCUGGAGGCAGGAUGGGGAUUAACUCUUGCAUCUGUCCAGUCCAUAGAGGAGAGGGUCUUUCCAAAUGACAUUUCAACUGGGUUGUGUCUCAUCAAGAGAAUAGGGAGGAGCCCAUAGGGUCAGCAGGAGGGAAGGGGACCUCCAUCCAACCUGUCCAUGGGGAGUGUGUUGAGGCGGGGGUGGGGGGUGGGAGGUGCUCUCCACUAUGAAUACUCCUGGGGCUACACCUUCUGCUGACCAUUUGAAAAACAAAUCAUGGAAAAUAAAAAAUACAGAAGAAGAACAGAAAGGUAAUAAAGAAGAUUUCAUUUCAAUAGUAAAAAAGGUUGAGAAGAUUAAGAUGGGCUUAAAAACCAGCCAUCUUAAACAUGAAAGGCAUUUCAAAGUAAGUUUAAAAUGAGCAACUUUGUUCGAAAUUUCAAUAAAAAUAAAAGAGGAAAAAAAUAACUAAAGUAAACUAGGUUUAAAAAUACAAUUUAAAAUAAAAUUCAAGAAAUUUUGUGUCUGAGAAGUAGGGAGAAAAAUUACAAUUCCAGUAAAAGAAUAUUAAGAGGUUUUUUUUUUGUUUUUUUUUUUUUUAAGAGAAGCUACAGCUAGAUGAGAUUUAAAAUCAGAGAAAUGGCUGAACUCCAGUGAGAGAUUAAAACCAUAAAAGACGAAGUUAUACAUGAUCGAAAUAAAACCCAAGAGCUAAAAACCUGUUAGUAAAUGAAGCUAACAAUGACAUAGUAUUUGUAAACUAUCAAAUUAAAGGGAAGAAUGUGUAGGAUAACAUGAAAAUGCAAAGUUUUUAUGUUUGGAGUCAGGUGUAAGACAAAGGAGAUGGAGAGGAAAC